rnacentral:misc_RNA from 1 species
AACGCACGAGACCUGCGGACCUGCGGAGGGAUCAUUAACGUAUCUCCGAGCCCGGCGGCGUCUGCGCGCCCCGGCUCGAAACCACAAACCACCGUGCUCCUUUACGGCCCAGGUUGCCGGCGUGAGCCGUGCGACCAGGAGCCGCAUUCAAAUAGACUCGAGUUCAAAAGAAUGUAAAGCGGACGUUCGUCUGCCCAUUAACUGAAACAACUUUCAGCAACGGAUCUCUAGAUCGGAAGA